GUGGGGAACAUAUUAUAUACAUACAUGUAAUUGGAGUCUAAAGACACCAAAAAAACACCACUUUAAAAAGAAAAUAGACUAAUAUAAGACCUCUUUACAGUUAUUUGACUCAUUCUGUGCUAAUGCAACUCUGCGGCGAUGACGCGCUGGUGACGACAUAAACCAAGAUGGCGGCGGCCCGGACUACAGCCGACAUGUAAUAAAGCCUUAAAAGACAUGGAUAUAAUGAAAAGAGUGGAUGGACAGAGGCAUAAACAUGCAGACUUUCACACGGACACACACGGACUUAUUAAACACACACAGACUUAUUAAACACACACAGACUUAUUAAACACACACGGACUUUUUAAACACACACGGACCUCAGUAAACACGGUAAACGGAACAGGCUUUACCGCUCGGCUGGCACUAGGACCCAGAAGCAGAGAAGAGGCAGAAUCAUGUCACGAUGCAGUCUGCGAUUGGACAACAGCCUGCCAAUCAGCAGCUCCUCCUUCAGUGUGGGAGCAUCCAGCAGGAGCAGGUCUCUGCGUCUCCGUCGCUCCUCCCUCUCUGAGUCCCUCCUCCGUCCUCCUGCUGGCAGGUCGUCUCUCCUGAGCAGCAGCAGUGAUGUGUCUGAUGCGUCUCUGCUCUCGUCCCUCCUGGAUGAAUCCUCCUUUCAGGAAUCCACGCUGCUCCAGUCCUUCUGGGGUUUGGAUCAUGACGUCGAUGCUAACGGUGAGUCUGACUCCUCC
rnacentral:lncRNA from 1 species